rnacentral:rRNA from 1 species
AACACAGGUCUCUGCUAAACCGUAAGGUGAUGUAUAGGGGCUGACGCCUGCCCGGUGCUGGAAGGUUAAGAGGAGUGGUUAGCUUCUGCGAAGCUACGAAUCGAAGCCCCAGUAAACGGCGGCCGUAACUAUAACGGUCCUAAGGUAGCGAAAUUCCUUGUCGGGUAAGUUCCGACCCGCACGAAAGGCGUAACGAUUUGGGCACUGUCUCAACGAGAGACUCGGUGAAAUCAUAGUACCUGUGAAGAUGCAGGUUACCCGCGACAGGACGGAAAGACCCCGUGGAGCUUUACUGUAGCCUGAUAUUGAAAUUCGGCACAGCUUGUACAGGAUAGGUAGGAGCCUUUGAAACGUGAGCGCUAGCUUACGUGGAGGCGCUGGUGGGAUACUACCCUAGCU